UCGUGCUAAGCGGGGAGCUAGCGGUGCCCUGUACUCGCAAACCGCUCUAGCGGGGCUGAAGUCCCCCUCGAGGCCCAACCCUGUGGGACUGUGCGGAUAAGUGGUGAUGAAGGUCAGGUCCUGCGCGGCGCAGGCCUGUGAAUCCGGUCAGAUCCGGAAGGAAGCAGCCGUAAACGGUACCCUGUGGGUGACGUGGGGCUGCCUGGCUGGAGCUAACUACCCGUUGCAAGCUGGAGGAUUGUGGUCGACAGGUGGGUGCACGG
rnacentral:SRP_RNA from 1 species